rnacentral:rRNA from 1 species
GCAAGCGUUGUUCGGAAUUACUGGGCGUAAAGGGCUCGUAGUCGGUCAACUAAGUCAUACGUGAAAUCCCUCGGCUUAACCGGGGAACUGCGUCUGAUACUGGAUGGCUUGAGUUCGGGAGAGGGAUGCGGAAUUCCAGGUGUAGCGGUGAAAUGCGUAGAUAUCUGGAGGAACACCGGUGGCGAAGGCGGCAUCCUGGACCGAUACUGACGCUGAGGAGCGAAAGCCAGGGGAGCAAACGGG